UCGUAAAUUCCAUGAUAAUUUGUCGGCACUAAGUGCUACCGAAAUUCUAACUCUGCACCUGUUGACAUGAAGCCAGACGCACUCUCCACUAUGCAAACCUGACCGGCAGGGUCGAAUUUUGAAAGGGAUUUUCUUUCAAACUAAAAUGUUCAUGUAAUGAAUAAAUAAUGCGUGCUAUUUCUUACCAACUUGUGACAAUAUUACGAACAUACUGAAUGGAAGAAACUUCUAAAAUUUACUGAUAAGUUUGAGAAAAAAUACUGAAAACACCAAGGAUCAGAGAAAUUUCCACGAUUAUGCUUUGCCUCCAUCUAAGCUGUGGAAAGCAAGGCUUGUUCAAAGGAUUUUUCUAGAACAACGUCCCAAAUUUGUAAAAUUAAUUAUUAGGGCACAUGAUUAGCGACCCGGAAAGAUAGUAAAAAAGAGUUGCUUCAAUGGGUAUAGAUAAUAGUAAUGGAUUUCAAUUAAGCUAAUAAUACAAAUCACUGAUACGGUAAAAAAGUUAAGCGAAGAAUUAAACUUAACAAUGGAGGUUUUUUUAAGGAUUAACUUACUUGCAUAAUGAUGAAAAUGGUAGAGACGAACAGAACGGCGUGAAUAUAUAAAUGCACAACUAUAUCUGCAUGCCAGUUGAAACGUUCCACUCGAAGAAUUAGUGAUCACACCAGUAGACCUGUCAUUCAUUUUAUAGAGAUUUAUCGGUUGGCUUACAAUCACAGUCUACAAAAUGGCAGUCAAAAAAAUCCUAGUAAUUGUUUUAGUUGCAAUUCUGGGCCUCGCAGGAGGAGUGUAUGCGGAGGAGGAGUGCGCGAGCAAAAGAUGAGAGCGCCAAACUUCAAAAAUUUCCGAAACUUCAAAAAUGCGAAACUCCAAAACUGAUUCAGGAAAGAGAGGAGGAAAAAAGAGCGGAUACUUCUUUCUGACGCUUUGAAAAUAUCCCAGAAAAAGUCUGACACCGUUCGUCCAUCAACUACACACUCCACUUUUACGUCAAUGAAAUACACUUAUCCGAAUAAAAAAGCAGCAAAUCAAAAAUUAUAUUGUUUAUUUCCUGCUGACUAAAUAAAUGAGCUUACAUUUCAAAAUUGUAAUAAAUGAUUGUCGUUAAGGU
rnacentral:lncRNA from 1 species